rnacentral:rRNA from 1 species
UACAGAGGGGGCAAGCGUUAUUCGGAAUUAUUGGGCGUAAAGGGCGCGUAGGCGGCUUUGCAAGUGACGGGGGAAAUCCCUCGGCUUAACCGAGGAACUGCCUGUCAAACUGCAUGGCUUGAGACCGGGAGAGGUGAGUGGAAUUCCCAGUGUAGCGGUGAAAUGCGUAGAUAUUGGGAGGAACACCAGUGGCGAAGGCGGCUCACUGGACCGGUACUGACGCUGAUGCGCGAAAGCGUGGGGAGCGAACAGG